rnacentral:rRNA from 1 species
UACGGAGGGUGCAAGCGUUAUCCGGAUUUACUGGGUUUAAAGGGUGCGUAGGUGGGUAGGUAAGUCAGUGGUGAAAUCUUCGAGCUUAACUCGGAAACUGCCAUUGAUACUAUUUAUCUUGAAUACUUUGGAGGUAAGCGGAAUAUGUCAUGUAGCGGUGAAAUGCUUAGAUAUGACAUAGAACACCAAUUGCGAAGGCAGCUUACUACACAGUCAUUGACACUGAGGCACGAAAGCGUGGGGGAUCAAACAGG